UUCAAAGUAAAGUCCAACAUGUGUACAAUCAAAUUGGUUCAUUUCCGGAUAUUUGAAGUGCUUAGUGUUUAGUACAUAAUCCAACUAGUAUUGAAGGAAAUGCUGGAGAUAACCCUGCAGCUCCGCCUUAUAGCGGACACACAGCGCGUGUUAACAACAAACAACCGACAGACAGCUGAUCUGCGGCGCAACCGCAGUCAGUGAGUCCAAAGAGUUGGUUCCUAAUUUAAUUAACGAACAGUUUAAAGUUAAAUCGACGGUCCAAAGCAGUUUUCUCAAGUCAAGGAUGAUAUCUGUCUCUGCUUCCCUCUGUGUGUCUGUGUCCGAUGAUGGCGAGGUUAAAUUCACUUCUGAGGUGUCACAGCCACACUGUAACGAAUUGCUGUAAGAAAACGGCAAAAUUCUGACAGUAACAUUCUGUUUUCCAUUAAAACGGCACUGUGCUGUAGAAAACAAUGCAUUCUGGGAAAUAUUUAUGAGCAGCUUGCUGUUUUCCUUAAAACAUUGUAAUAUACUGUAAACAGCAUUGCAUUCUGGGGGUGAUGUCAGAAUCAACGGCAGAGAGGUCCUGCACAAACGGAAUGCUACUAUAUUUGUAGAAGACACAUGUUGAACACAAAGUCGUGAAGCCAACUCUGGACCUUUUUUCGAGGAUUAUCCAUCUGAAUCCUGCAUUUUAUCAGCAAGUCUUCGGUAAGUUGAAAUAAACUUUAUCUGCCUUGCAUUUUUUGCUUACUUUUGCUGUCUUUUAAACAAACUCAGACUGAUUUAGAACUGUAACUUAGCUAGCUUGUAUGUGGUCCUCUGAAUUAGCUAUGCAGUGACAUGUGAGUACAGCAGUAAAACUACUUUUUAAAUUAUUAUUUUGUAGGUUCGGCCAAUACUAAAUAGUAUUUAAAAGUUAAUCUUAAUGGGUUUUCGUAUGGUCAGUUGGUUUGCAGCUAGGAGCAUUAUUGUGAGUUUGUCUUCUUCUGUAAAUUUUCAACUCCACUACAGCUUUGAUAAUGUUACAUCUUAUUAGGUAUUAAACUUGAACUAAUAGUGUGUGAUAUUAGUAUGUUGUCCAGCUGCUGAAGGAACCAUUUUACAAAGAAUUCAGAUGGACUCAUUCGUCUAGUUUGUUUCUCUUCUCGUUUCAUUUAUACUGCAAUGAAUUGUUGCCAUCUUAAUCCUCAUCUAAAGCUAAUAUUCUCACCACAGAGAAUGUCUGUGCUUUACAGCAAUCUUCCACAGUGGUGGUGAAAGGACACUCAACCUACUUUUGACUCCUCCUCUAGUGUUGCUCGGUGGAAAAGAGCCUGCGACAGCUGGAUACUGGAUGAUCAGCCUUCAGGAUCACAUGUGGGGGCAUCCACCCAACCUUUGUGACAGGGCCUGCUGUUUACAGUGUUCACAUCUUUAACUGGGAAGCUGCCUGUACAAGAUGCUUCUUUUGAAUCAACCCAGAAAGAGGAACAAGAGCCGUUUGGGGGACUCGUCUCCAAGAGGACAGGGAGAGUCAUUCAGAAGAAAUCUGUCUCAAUCAACCUUGUAGACUUUGAGUGGAGUUUCAUAGUUCAGUGAGAGCUCUCUCCCCAGGUUAUUUGUCAAUUUUUCUCUUUAAUUUUGUACAUGUUAUCAUAUUCUUGUUCUCCUGUCCACUAAAUAUGAAUUAUUUCAGGUGACUGUGUAUAAAACAGUCAGUAACUGAGCAGACCCUAUAUCCUCCGCUUUAUUUCUCUCCGUUAGAAAUUCGGAUCAGUUAUUGGAUGUCUUUACUUCAUGAAUGUCACUUGUUGAUCUUCCAUGCAAUCAAGUUGCAGAGCUCCCACCGUCAGAUACGACGAGACGAUACCUCAGAAACCAUGUUCUGAUGACAGUGUUCAGAGGACAAUGUAUCCUGCCAUUGUGUUGUUAAAUUGAUUUUGUAAAAUCUCUUAAUUUAUACAGUAAAAAUGUUUGAUAUC